CUGGCUAUUACCAGGGAAGAUAAGGAGCAAGCUCUCCUCGAUCACUUCCAGGAGCACCUCGAAACGGACGCGCAACGGACCAAACACAUCGUUUGGGAGAACAUUGGAGUCCAACACCACGAUCUUUCUGAGUUGGACGCCCCUUUCGACGAGGAUGAAAUUAAGGAGGCAGUUUUCUCCUUACCUUCGGUCAAAGCACCCAGCCCGGACGGUUUUAUCGGUGCCUUCUUCAAGUCCUGUUGGGAGAUCAUCAAGACCGACGUCGUGAAUGCAAUUAAGCAACUGGCUAGCCUCCGCGACGAUUGCGCGGGCCUGAUAAAUUUGGCAAACAUUAUCCUACUGCCAAAAAAGGCAAACACCGCCUGGAUUGGGGACUACCGUCCAAUCAGCCUGAUUCAUAGCAUCUCCAAGAUCUUCUCCAAGCUGUUGGCAAACUGUCUAGCUCCGAUGCUCCCUGUGCUAGUCUCCAAUUGUCAGAGCGCCUUCAUGAAGAAGUGGUGCAUCCAUGAUAAUUUCUUGCACGUUCAAAACUUGGCGAAGGAGCUGCAUCGCACUCAAACGCCCGGCCUCUUCCUCAAAUUGGACAUCUCAAAGGAUUUUGACUCCAUGGGCUGGGCCUACCUGCUGGAGCUGCUUCAGCAGCUUGGGUUCAGACAACGUUGGCGGGACUGGAUUUGCAUGACCCUCGCAACAUCUUCCUCCAGGAUCCCGUUGAAUGGGGACCCGGGGACCCCUUUUGCUCAUGCAUGCGGCCUGCGACAGGGUGACCCCAUAUCUCCGAUGCUAUUCAUCCUGACCAUCGACCCUCUCCAGCUCAUGCUUCAUGCGGCCUCUCAGGAGGGGAUCCCCAAGCCGAUCAAGGCUCGUUCGGCUACAUGUAGAAUCUCCCUCUACGCCCAUGAUGCUGGCAUCUUUGCCAAUCCGGUCAAGGAAGAGAUCGACGCCAUUGCAAAGAUCCUUUCCUGUUUUGGCGAGGCUUCGGGCCUCAUCACUAACGUAACCAAGAUAGAAGUGUUCCCCAUCCGCUGCCAUGGGUUCGAUCUGACCAACAUCCUUUCGGGCUUCCCCGUGAAGAUUACCUCCUUCCCCACCAUGUACCUGGGCCUCCCCCUCCAUACUGGGUGA
rnacentral:rRNA from 1 species